AAUCUGGUCAUGUUUUGAAAUCUCGGGAAAACUAGAAGACCCCAACCACAAGAUGGAGCACCCGAGUCCAUACUUCUUGUGUGACGUCCUCAGCAUCAUCAAACGCGUGUGAAAUCGUCUCUUGCAGCACAAGUACAGCAUGAUCUGGCAGCACAAGAUAAACUUCAACCAGUACUCGACUGUCUGCAAGGCUGGUGCCAACGAGCCAAAUCAAGUAGUGCCGGAACUUACUCGGGAACAUGUCAGCCUCGACAACUUACGAAAGAUGAACGUCAGUUUCCAGCCUUCUGCUAUGUUUCGUUUGGUUUUGAAGACAGGAAUAACUUGUUUUGUUUUGCUUCUUUUUUUUUGGCGCUUCUUUAGAGUGGUCAGGACUUUCGGAGGUGAUGAAGAUCACCCAACUGUUGUGAGCUUCUCACACAUCUAUUGCCUCCUGGGAACCUGAUGGGGGAACAAUGGCUGUUCUUGCCUCCGUAGAACAGACAAUAAUCGCAAAAAAGAAAAUGAAAAUUGAAUUGGGGCACGAUAAACUUGAAGCUUGCCUCCAAAGUAAACUUGCUCAGACUUGUAGUUCUGCAGAUGAAAAACCUGACCAGAUACAUUAUCAUGCUUACAUGGACACAUUGGCGCAAGCCUGUGUUAUAUACUGCAUGUGUGGCUAUCUGGUGUGCUCGGUUGGUAAACACAACAGCUUUGGACAUUGUGAGCCCUGCGUGAGAGAUGUUCAUGCAGUGUGGAAUUGGUACUCGGAAGCUUAUCUCUUGCUCGAGAGGGAGUUGAAGGAGUUGAAGAGGGAAGCCUAAAACGCCCUUCAUGCAGAAUGUUUCUCAUGCUCAAAAAUGUUGAGGGAAAGAUUGCUUCCACACUGAAAGCUGAAGACCUUUGCGGUGACAUGAUGUGGAACCUGCUUGACGCACUAGAGGAAUGUGUGAUCGUGAGGUGGGGUGUGACAACCACAAGGGUGUUCACUGCUUAUCUUUUUCUGUAUUUUGUGAUUUUGCACCUUCACUUUUCUGCCUAAGACACAUCACGAAAGCUCAGCGUGUCGGUGAAGGUUGCAACUGCCAGAAAGAAGGCGAAGUGUAUUUUGUGCCUUCACAGAAAAAGGGGGAGAUGGG